rnacentral:rRNA from 1 species
GAUUGAACGCUGGCGGCAGGCUUAACACAUGCAAGUCGAGCGGAUGAAAGUAGCUUGCUACYGGAUUCAGCGGCGGACGGGUGAGUAAUGCUUAGGAAUCUGCCUAUUAGUGGGGGACAACAUCUCGAAAGGGAUGCUAAUACCGCAUACGUCCUACGGGAGAAAGCAGGGGAUCUUCGGACCUUGCGCUAAUAGAUGAGCCUAAGUCGGAUUAGCUAGUUGGUGGGGUAAAGGCCUACCAAGGCGACGAUCUGUAGCGGGUCUGAGAGGAUGAUCCGCCACACUGGGACUGAGACACGGCCCAGACUCCUACGGGAGGCAGCAGUGGGGAAUAUUGGACAAUGGGGGGAACCCUGAUCCAGCCAUGCCGCGUGUGUGAAGAAGGCCUUUUGGUUGUAAAGCACUUUAAGCGAGGAGGAGGCUACUCUAGUUAAUACCUAGGGAUAGUGGACGUUACUCGCAGAAUAAGCACCGGCUAACUCUGU